rnacentral:lncRNA from 1 species
CAUGUGGCUGGUUUGGCAUUAGGAUCACUUAUUCAGUGCUUUGAAUGGGAGAGAGUAACCGAAGAGCUGGUAGACAUGACUGAAGGACCUGGACUCACUAUGCCGAAGGCAAUACUGUUGCUAGCAAAAUGUAGGCCACGCCAAAAUAUCGACAACCUUCUUGCUCAUUUGUAAUCACAAUUCUCCCCUGCACUUUCUCUUUUAUGACACAACUAAUAAACGACGUUAUAUUUGUCUAUUAACACAUACUACAGAAAGAUAGGCAAAGUAACAUCUAGUCUCAAGUAGCCUGCUAAUUGUUCACAACUUGCAGGGCAUGAUCAGUAAUUCUACAUUUGUCUAAUAAACAAAAUCUAAGGCAAAAGUAACAUCUAUUUUCUAGUAGCUUGCUAAUUGUUCAAUUCCUCUUUAAGAAUGAGAAACAAGAGACUAGAUAAUUUGUGUCAGUUGUAUGAAUUCUUACUGUCAAUUCUGCUCUCAUUUCCUUCUAAUGUUUCUGAUAUUUGUACACUCCUAUUUCUUCUAUGAGACAGAUCAAGUUACGUGUUUCACUGGUAACCUAACAAAAUUACACAGUUAUUUUUACGUGGAAAACACGCAGCUCACAAGGGUUAAAAACCACAACCUGCACCUCUGUAAGAUUUCUCCCAAACAAUGAGCCUCAACAAGAAAUGUAAUACUAGAAACUCUAAUUCCUAACUUUCAAUAGCCUCGCAGACUAUUGAACCCCACUUCAAGUUUGCCCCAACUUAAAGUUUACACAACUCCAUAUUGUUCCAUCGGAAAGGGUCUGAUAUGCCCCAACCUUGCCAUUUAGAGCUAAUAACUAGCUCAUAUAUACCCCUAUUGUUACAUAAAUGGAUCACAUCUAAAUGCUUGUUUUAAGAUAUAUUAGUUUUUUCGUUGUAGCCACUAAUUAGUUCAAAGGGGAAAUAUAUGGAAGAUUAAAAGGAAAAAGAGAUAACAUAGACAUACUCUACAAUAAAAUUUCACUAUAACAAUCAUGUUUAUGUGAAACUGAUCUUCGAUGUUAUGUUAUAUUAUAUUAUAUAUUCUUGAUAACAACCCUUCGUUAUAGAAGCCAAAAUAUUGGGACAAACAAAGCUGUUACAGAGAGAUUUGACUGUAGUAUUAAGAAGUUACUCCAAUACACUAUCGCCUAACAAUGCAAAGUUAAUUAACAGUAAAUUAUCAUCAACCACAAUCGUUUAAUGAUAAGUACUGGCACCUUGCUGUCCAAAGAUGAUAAAGUCUAAUAAUGUUGACAGCAACACAUAACUAUAAACUAAGUGAAGAGCUGGUUGACAUAACUGAAGGACCUGGACUCACUAUGCCGAAGGCUAUACCAUUGCUAGCAAAAUGUAGGCCAUGCCAAAAUAUCGACAACCUUCUUGCUCAUUUGUAAUCACAAUUCUCCCCUGUACUUUCUCUUUUCAGACACAACUAAUAAACGACGUUACAUUUGUCUAGAGAAUUUGUGUCAGUUUUAUGAAUUCUUACUAUCCAUUCUGCGCUCAUUUCCUUCUAAUGUUUAAUAAUUUGGAAUUCUCUAAGAGUAAAGGUUUUCUUCCAACACAUCAAUCUCUACCAGGAACAAGAGCGUUCAGCAGACGCCAAAGUGCAUGCUUACGGCUAUGUGUAUAUGAUCAAUCUCCAGAUCAAAGUAAACGCUUGCUUCGGGAUAUAUUACUUCUUUCGUCAUAGCCACUAAUUAGUUCAAAGGGGAAAUAUAUGGAGGAUUAAGGUAAAGAGAGGCAGCAUAGGCAUACUCUAUAAUAACAUUUCACUAUAACAAUUAUGUUCUAUGUGAAACUGAUCUUUCACGUUAUGUUAUAUUAUAUGUUCUUAUAACAACACUUUGUUAUAGAAGCCAAAGUAUUGGGACAAAUUAAACAAGGCUGCUAUAGAGACAUUUGACUGUACUAUUAAAAAGUUACUCCAAUACGCUAUCGCCUAUCGAUGCAAACACGUUAAAUUAGCAGUAAAUUAUCAUCAACCACAAUCGUUUAGUGAUAAGUACUGGCACCUUGCUGUCCAAAGAUGAUAAAGUCAAAUGAUGCUGAUAGGAACACAUAACUAUAAACUGAGACCUUUGUUGCACCAGAGCUGCACUCCAUAAAUCAUCAGCCUAAAUUUUAUCUUAAAUUCAAUUCCUACCUAAGUAGGCCUAAAUUCCCAUUCAAGAAGUUAUCCAGUAUAUAAAUUCGAGAAUUCUGUUAUUUAGAGUUACUGUAAAAAGUACCUGCACCAACCAUGGAAAUUUCAUUCUACAUCCUCAUCCUCAUCCUCAUCUUCACUUUCCUUUACUUGCUAAAGAACCAUUUCCUUAAGAAAAUUCCAAAAUCUCCCACCAAGUCCCUUUAUCUCUUUGCCCAUUAUAGGUCAUCUACAUCUAUUCAAGAAACCAAUUCAUAAAACAUUAGCCAACAUCUCAGAAAAACACGGUCCUUUGCUUUACCUCCGAUUUGGAUCGCGUCCUGUCCUGCUCGUCUCCUCCCCUUCUCUUGCAGAGGAAUGUUUCACCAAAAACGACGUUGUUUUUGCCAACCGUCCGAGGCUUCUUGCUGGAAAACAUCUUGGUUACAAUUAUACCACUCUUCUGUGGGCAUCCUAUGGCCAACAUUGGCGCAACUUAAGAAGGAUUGCUACUCAUGAAAUCUUGUCCACUCUGAGAGUUCAAAUGUUUGCUGAUAUACGUAGAAAUGAGGUUCGCACUCUGCUUCAACGACUUGUAAGGGGAAAAACCAUUGGUGAAGAUCCUAACACAAACGUGGUGGAUAUGAAAGCGGCUGUAUUUGACAUGACACUGAACAACUUGAUGAUGAUGAUUGCUGGGAAGCAAUACUAUGGUGAUUCUGAUGAGAAGUUGGAGGCAUCUAAAAGGUUUAAAGAGAUUGUCACAGAAAGUCUCCAAGUGAGUGGUGCAACAAAUAUAGGAGAUUUUGUGCCGCUUCUUAAAUGGAUAGGAGUAAACAAACUUGAGGAUAAGGUGAAGUUAGUGCAGGAGAAGAGGGAUAAAUUCAUGCAAGAUUUGAUUGAAGAGCACAAGAACCGCCGAAAAGGAUCUCAUUGGGAGCAAAAGAAUAACACCAUGAUUGAUGUUCUCUUAUCCCUCCAAGAUUCGGAGCCUGAUUAUUACACAGAUGAAGUGAUAAGGGGCAUGGGAAUGGUCAUGUUUACAGCAGGUACUGAUACUACAGCUAUCACAAUGGAAUGGGCAUUAUCACUUCUUCUGAACAAUCCCGAGGCACUAAAGAAAGCUCAAAAUGAAAUCGACACUCACAUCGGAGACUCAUCAAGAUUACUUGAUGAUUCAGACCUUGCUCAACUCCCUUAUCUCCAUGGAAUCAUAAAUGAAACUCUCCGAAUGUACCCAGCUGCUCCAUUACUUGUGCCACACGAGUCCUCGGAUGAGUGUAUCGUUGGAAGUUUUCAUGUACCCCGUGGGACAAUGUUGCUAGUGAAUUUGUGGGCAAUACAAAAUGAUGCUAAAUUGUGGGACAAGCCAAAUGAGUUCAAGCCGGAAAGGUUUAUCGAUUUCAAAGGUCAACGAGACGGAUUCAGGCUAAUGCCAUUUGGAUAUGGCAGGAGAGGAUGUCCAGGUGAGAAUUUGGCAAUGCAUGUGGCUGGUUUGGCAUUAGGAUCACUUAUUCAGUGCUUUGAAUGGGAGAGAGUAAGCGAAGAGCUGAUAGACAUGACUGAAGGACCUGGACUCACUAUGCCCAAGGGAAUACCGUUGCUAGCAAAAUGUAGGCCACGCCAAAAUAUCGAUAACCUUCUUGCUCAUUUGUAAUCACAAUUCUCCCCUGCACUUUUUCUUU